ensembl:lncRNA
GAAAGAUGAACCACAAGAGAAGGGCCAUCCACUGACUCAGUCUGCAAAAUUUCCAGCGCCUGGGGGAGCUUCAGGUCCCUCCUGACAUGUAGAGAGAGGAAGUAAACACUUGUAACAAUCUUUAGCAGCUGUAGGUUUCUCAGAGACUGCUGGCUGCUCCUCCACGGAGCUAUAAUCCUUACAUCUGACUCCUAGACUAUCCGCUCAGGUUAGAAAAAGAACACUAGAGUCACCAGUGCCCAGAUGAAGAGAGAAGAGAGAAGGCUGCCGUUUCCUUAGAGGAGCCGUGCAGCCCCCACCCCAUGCAUCCUCCUGCUUCUACCCAGGAGGGAACCACGACCCUGACCCUGAGAGGGCUUUCACGUUUCUACACACAAUCCAGAGUCAGAUCCCGGAGUCCCAAGCGACAGACCCAGCUGAGACUGUAUGAAUUCUCUAGGUUAAUUAGGGGAGGGCUGACAUCUUUAAAGCAUGGAGUCUUCAGUCCGUGUACACUGUCUAUGUCUGUCCUCCGUUCAUGCUCAAUACAGAUCUGUAUUGAAGUCUCAUAAAUAUUUGGUUAUUUUCC